UGGUAUAUUACUCCCAGGCCUCCCAUUUACUCAUAGAUCCGGUCAUCUAUUUAGUUAUUUCAGUGGUGGUGCACAUUUACAUCAUGAUUGAGUCUGGUGAAACUUUAAAUCCAUCCAUUUAUUGAUAAAAUACCCCACUGUCUACCCGAUAUAUAGAUAUAUAUUUUCACCGUCAUGUAAAAUGUAACCAACUGUAAAAAGUGAUCUAGUAGAAAAAAAACAUUCUGAAAUGCCUAUACAUAAUAUUUAAAACGAUUAAUAAUAUAUGAACAAAAGAAAAGUGUCCAAGUGAUAAUAUAAAUAGUUCAUGAAUCACUUAAGCUUACAUAAAACCGAAUAAAAACUUUAAAAACUUUGAACAUGUCAAAUGUCUAUAAAUAGCUUAAAAAUAUAAAAAAUAAUAAUAAUGAAACCACUAUAGCAGUAAAUUUUCCUGUUUCUAUGUUUUAUUCUUCUGGUUUUAGCCAAUUAUUAUGAAAACCAUUUGGAAAAUCAAAAAAUUACCA